CAGCACAGCUGCAGACAUGGCUCCCAGCACCAGGGCCCAGUCUGGGCUCUCUCCUUCUUCUCCUUCUUUUGCUUCUUCUUCUGCAAACAGCAUAGUGUUUUAUUGAGUGAAAAGAGAAAAGAGGAGAGGAGAGGAGCAGAAAAGAGGGGAAGAGAAGAGGAGAGGAGAAAUACAGUACAGGAGUGAAGGGAAGUGAAAUCCUAUGAUGACCACAAGACAACAUCAUACCCAAGUCAUUUCCUUAUUUUCACAGUAUUAACAAUUUCUGACACAACCCCCCUCAAAAUGUUUGCUACAGAUGAUAUUAUUAAUGACAUAUAUUAUCAAAAUGAUGGUUGUGUAUGAAGUUCAGUAUACGUAAUGUCAUUAAGGUAUUUUCACAUAUUGAUCUGUUGAGAGGAUUGUAGUGGAGUACACCUGCAUUUUGUUCACGUGAAAGUGACCGUGACACACCUGCGUUUGGUCCAUGUGAGAGAGUGACCGUGACGGCUUGACUAGCGCUGGAGUUGAUGGUCAGGUCUGUGGAGACGGUCAUCUGAUAGAGGCAGGAG